rnacentral:rRNA from 1 species
AUUGAACGCUGGCGGCAUGCUUUACACAUGCAAGUCGAACGGCAACGACGGGGGCAACCCUGGUGGCGAGUGGCGAACGGGUGAGUAAUACAUAGGAACGUAUCCUGAAAUGGGGGAUAGCUCGGCGAAAGCCGGAUUAAUACCGCAUACGAUCUACGGAUGAAAGCAGGGGAUUCGCAAAGAACCUUGCGUUUCUGGAGCGGCCUAUGUCUGAUUAGCUAGUUGGCGGGGAAAAGCCCACCAAGGCGACGAUCAGUAGCUGGUCUGAGAGGAUGAUCAGCCACAC